rnacentral:pre_miRNA from 1 species
AUCAAAAUUCCGUGCUUCUUAAUAUUCCCAUAUUGAUUCAAAUAUUAUAAAUUUAUGGAAUGUAAAGAAGUAUGGAGUUUUGAU